GACGGGGGGAUGCGAGCGUUAUCCGGAAUGAUUGGGCGUAAAGGGUCCGCAGGUGGCCCGGUCAGUCCGCCGUCAAAUCCCAGGGCUCAACCCCUGGACAGGCGGUGGAAACUACCAAGCUGGAGUACGGGUAGGGGCAGAGGGAAUUUCCGGUGGAGCGGUGAAAUGCGUAGAGAUCGGAAAGAACACCAACGGCGAAAGCACUCUGCUGGGCCGACACUGACACUGAGAGACGAAAGCUAGGGGAGCGAAGUGGG
rnacentral:rRNA from 1 species